GGUUGUGGCUCAGUGGUAGAGUGCUUACCUGGAAUGUGUGAGGUACUGGGUUCAGUCCUCAGCACCA
rnacentral:tRNA from 1 species